CGGGACGGAGAUGCUGCUCCCCCACCCGGGGCCGACGCGGGGGAGGGGCCGGGGGCGGCCGGCUGGGGCUCCCCGCUGCGGGCUCUCGCCUCCCUGGAGCCCCGCCUGGAUCUGCUGUUGGGCGCUCGCCGGCUGUCAAGCGGCCUGGGCUGGGGACCUGCCCUCCUCCUCCGGACGCCCGCUUCCUCCUUGCCUGGAGGAAGAUUUCCACUUUGAAUAUACAGAAUGUGAUAGCAGUGGCUCCAGAUGGAGAGUUGCCAUUCCGAAUUCUGCAGUGGACUGCUCUGGCCUGCCUGACCCAGUGAGAGGCAAAGAAUGCACUUUCUCCUGUGCUUCUGGGGAGUAUCUAGAAAUGAAGAAUCAGGUGUGCAGUAAGUGUGGUGAAGGCACCUACUCCUUGGGCAGUGGCAUCAAAUUUGAUGAAUGGGAUGAAUUGCCGGCAGGAUUUUCCAACGUUGCAACAUUCAUGGACACUGUGGUCGGCCCUUCGGACAGCAGGCCGGACGGCUGUAACAACUCUUCCUGGGUCCCUCGUGGAAAUUACAUAGAGUCCAAUCGUGAUGACUGCACGGUAUCCUUGAUCUACGCUGUGCACCUCAAGAAGUCAGGCUAUGUUUUCUUUGAGUACCAGUAUGUGGACAACAACAUCUUCUUUGAGUUCUUUAUUCAAAAUGAUCAGUGCCAGGAGAUGGACACCACUGCUGACAAGUGGGUAAAACUCACCGACAGUGGAGCAUGGGGCUCUCAUUCUGUAAUGUUGAAAUCAGGUACAAACAUACUGUACUGGAGAACUACAGGCAUCCUUAUGGGUUCCAAGGCAGUCAAGCCAGUGUUGGUGAAAAAUAUCACAAUUGAAGGGGUGGCAUACACAUCAGAAUGCUUUCCAUGCAAGCCUGGCACCUUCAGUGACGAACCAGGUUCAUUCAUCUGCCAAGUUUGUCCCAGAAACACCUAUUCUGAGAAAGGAGCCAAAGAAUGCAUCAAGUGUGACGAGGCCUCCCAGUUUUCAGAAGAAGGAUCCAGCAAGUGUAAGGAGCGUCCUCCCUGUACCACAAAAGACUAUUUCCAGAUCCACACUCCAUGUGAUGAGGAAGGAAAGACGCAGAUAAUGUACAAAUGGAUAGAGCCCAAAAUCUGCCGGGAGGAUCUCACAGAUGCUAUUAGGUUGCCCCCUUCUGGAGAGAAGAAGGAUUGUCCACCCUGCAACCCUGGAUUUUAUAACAAUGGAUCUUCUUCUUGCCAUCCCUGCCCUCCUGGAACGUUUUCGGAUGGAACAAAGGAAUGUAGACCAUGUCCAGCAGGAACAGAGCCUGCACUUGGGUUUGAAUAUAAAUGGUGGAAUGUCCUUCCUGGUAACAUGAAAACCUCCUGCUUCAAUGUCGGGAAUUCAAAGUGUGACGGAAUGAAUGGUUGGGAGGUGGCUGGAGAUCAUAUCCAGAGUGGGGCUGGAGGUUCCGAUAAUGAUUACCUGAUCUUAAACUUGCAUAUCCCAGGAUUUAAACCACCGACAUCGAUGACGGGAGCCAUGGGUUCUGAACUGGGAAGAAUAACAUUUGUGUUUGAGACCCUCUGUUCAGCCGACUGUAUUCUGUACUUCAUGGUGGAUAUUAAUAGAAAAAGUACCAACGUGGUCGAAUCAUGGGGUGGAACCAAAGAAAAACAAGCUUACACCCAUGUCAUCUUCAAGAAUGCCACAUUUACAUUUACGUGGGCAUUUCAGAGGACCAAUCAGGGUCAAGAUAAUAGACGGUUCAUCAAUGACAUGGUGAAGAUUUAUUCUAUCACUGCCACUAAUGCAGUUGAUGGGGUGGCGUCCUCAUGCCGUGCCUGUGCCCUCGGUUCUGAACAGUUGGGCUCAUCGUGUGUCCCCUGCCCCCCAGGCCACUACAUUGAGAAAGAAACCAACCAGUGCAAGGAGUGUCCACCUGACACCUACCUGUCCAUACAUCAGGUCUAUGGCAAGGAGGCUUGUAUUCUAUGUGGGCCUGGGAGUAGAAGCACCCAGGACCACUCAGUUUGCUACAGUGACUGCUUUUUCUACUAUGAAAAAGAAAAUCAAAGUUUGCACUAUGACUUCAGCAACCUCAGCAGUGUGGGCUCCUUAAUGAAUGGUCCCAGCUUUACCUCCAAAGGAACAAAAUACUUCCAUUUCUUCAAUAUCAGUUUAUGUGGGCAUGAGGGGAAGAAGUUGGCUCUCUGCACCAACAAUAUAACAGACUUCACAGUAAAGGAAAUGGUGGCAGGGUCAGAUGAUUAUACGAAUUUGGUAGGAGCAUUUGUAUGUCAGUCAACUAUUAUUCCUUCUGAAAGUAAGGGCUUCCGAGCAGCCUUAUCAUCACAGUCCAUCAUUCUAGCAGAUACAUUUUUAGGAGUGACUGUUGAAACCACAUUGCAAAAUAUUAAUAUAAAAGAAGAUAUGUUCCCAGUUUCACCAAGCCAAAUACCAGAUGUGCAUUUCUUUUAUAAGUCUUCUACAACUACAACCUCUUGUGUUAAAGGCCGAUCAACUGCUGUGAAAAUGAGGUGUAAUCCCACUAAACCGGGAGCUGGAACCAUUUCAGUACCCAGCAAGUGUCCAGCAGGUACCUGUGAUGGAUGUACAUUCUAUUUCCUGUGGGAGAGUGCUGAAGCUUGCCCUCUGUGCACAGAGCAUGACUUCCAUGAGAUUGAGGGUGCCUGUAAGAGGGGAUUUCAGGAAACCUUAUAUGUGUGGAAUGAACCUAAGUGGUGCAUUAAAGGAAUUUCUCUGCCUGAGAAAAAGUUGUCAACCUGCGAAACAGUUGACUUUUGGCUAAAAGUGGGAGCAGGUGUGGGAGCUUUUACAGCUGUUUUGCUUGUGGCUCUAACUUGCUACUUCUGGAAAAAGAAUCAGAAACUGGAAUACAAAUAUUCCAAAUUAGUAAUGACGACAAACUCAAAAGAGUGUGAACUCCCAGCUGCAGACAGCUGUGCUAUCAUGGAAGGAGAAGAUAAUGAAGAGGAGGUUGUAUAUUCCAAUAAACAGUCGCUACUGGGAAAACUCAAAUCCUUGGCAACAAAGGACAAAGAAGACCAUUUUGAAUCUGUUCAACUGAAAUCCUCAAGAUCUCCAAAUAUGUGAAAGACAGUGCUGUAGCCUUCAGACUAAUGAACAAAGAAACCUGCUCUCUAGUUUUACAGGACCAUAGUUUAGAGCCUGUCCUCGUAUCCGGCACAUUGGUGAUGUCACAGAGGAGGGCCAUGCCGCUGAAAAGGGAAGGAGGUUGAAAUGUUAGAUUGCCUUAUAACAUGGUCAAGUGUCUUGCCAAAAAUAAGAAAGCAAAUGUUUUGAGUCUCAACUGAAGAUGAAGCUCAACUCAGGAAGAGAUUUAUCUGUAUAUACAAAUAACUCAAAACCAAGGUUAAGCCCACCAGCGCACUGCUGAUGCAUGCCAUAUAAUUAAUGGGGUAUCCUUGUUGAUUUCAGAAGCCUAAGUAAGCAGUAAUUCUUAAUGAAGAGUCAGCAUGUGCUUGGGUUAUCUAACUUAUAAACGCCUUUGAAAUUCCAUCCUUGUUGGAACUGGGAUGACUCUACGUAGUGCCAUAAGUCAUCUGUGAACUCU